rnacentral:rRNA from 1 species
CCUACGGGAGGCAGCAGUAGGGAAUAUUGCACAAUGGGGGAAACCCUGAAGCAGCAACGCCGCGUGGAGGAUGAAGGUUUUCGGAUUGUAAACUCCUUUUGUUAGAGAAGAUAAUGACGGUAUCUAACGAAUAGGCACCGGCUAACUCCGUGCCAGCAGCCGCGGUAAUACGGAGGGUGCAAGCGUUACUCGGAAUCACUGGGCGUAAAGAGCGCGUAGGCGGGAUAGCAAGUCAGAUGUGAAAUCCUAUGGCUUAACCAUAGAACUGCAUUUGAAACUGUUAUUCUAGAGUGUGGGAGAGGUAAGUGGAAUUCUUGGUGUAGUGGUAAAAUGCGUAGAUAUCAAGAGGAAUACUCAUUGCGAAGGCGACCUGCUAGAACGUAACUGACGCUGAUGCGCGAAAGCGUGGGGAGCAAACAGGAUUAGAUACCCCUGUAGUC